rnacentral:rRNA from 1 species
CCUACGGGGGGCUGCAGUGGGGAAUAUUGGACAAUGGGGGGAACCCUGAUCCAGCCAUGCCGCGUGUGUGAAGAAGGCCCUCGGGUUGUAAAGCACUUUCAGUGAGGAAGAACGCCUGGUGGUUAAUACCCAUCAGGAAAGACAUCACUCACAGAAGAAGCACCGGCUAACUCCGUGCCAGCAGCCGCGGUAAUACGGAGGGUGCGAGCGUUAAUCGGAAUUACUGGGCGUAAAGCGCGCGUAGGUGGCUUGAUAAGCCGGUUGUGAAAGCCCCGGGCUCAACCUGGGAACGGCAUCCGGAACUGUCAAGCUAGAGUGCAGGAGAGGAAGGUAGAAUUCCCGGUGUAGCGGUGAAAUGCGUAGAGAUCGGGAGGAAUACCAGUGGCGAAGGCGGCCUUCUGGACUGACACAGACACUGAGGUGCGAAAGCGUGGGUAGCAAACAGGAUUAGAUACCCUUGUAGUC